rnacentral:sRNA from 1 species
AUGUGCCACUCGUACAUUCCGGUUCUGAGCGCGCCGUCCGCACUCACCUGAUGACCGCACGCUACGCUACGUUGCGUUAGCC